rnacentral:rRNA from 1 species
UAGGGAAUCUUCCACAAUGGACGCAAGUCCGAUGGAGCAACGCCGCGUGAGUGAAGAAGGCUUUCGGGUCGUAAAACUCUGUUAUUGAAGAAGAACGUGUGUGACAGUAACUGGUCAUGCAGUGACGGUAUUCAAUCAGAAAGUCACGGCUAACUACGUGCCAGCAGCCGCGGUAAUACGUAGGUGGCAAGCGUUGUCCGGAUUUAUUAGGCGUAAAGCGAGUGCAGGCGGUCUUUUAAGUCUGAUGUGAAAGCCUUCGGCUUAACCGAAGAAGGGCAUCGGAAACUGGGAGACUUGAGUGCAGAAGAGGAGAGUGGAACUCCAUG